UAAGGUGGCUAUUGCGAAGAGGCUACACCCGAUCCCAUUCCGAACUCGGAAGUUAAGCUCUUCAGCGCCGAUGGUACUGCGUAGAAGUGGGAGAGUAGGUCGCCGCCAACC
rnacentral:rRNA from 1 species